CACACCUAUCAAUUUGUCAGAUUUUUUUUUUUUUCAGUUUCUUAAAAAGACUAAAUUCUGCGAUUUAAUGAUCAGAUAUGCAUCGACAUGGCAAUGGAGACAAGCCCUUUAGCAUUACCUUCCAUUUUAGAGAGAUGUUUCCUCACUUUUCCUGCGCAUCCUUGGCAAUGGAUUGAAACUCUCAUGACCACCACCUUUAUGGUGCAAGUUGAUUGAACAUUAAAACAGCGGCGGCGACGGCGGUGGCUGUGGGCCGUAGUCGUGAGUCGGAUCUUUGCUUCUUUGUAACCAUCGGGAGGGUGACUGCCCGACUCCGGCUGCCAGAGCUGAGUCUCCGAGAGUCGACAAGGCGGGAAUACCCACGCGGUAGUAUCAUCAACCGGGGAUCGCCUGGGACGCAAACCGCCGUCGAGGCCUGUGACCGGCAGAGAAAUCCGCUGGCCUUCAUGAGCGAGGGAGAGAGAUGAAGAGGCU